CACAUCCAGGCACACAGCCAUCUAGAGGCACACAUACACUCUUACAGCACACAGUCAAUUCCCUCCCCCUACCCCUGAACCUAAUUCAGUCCCAGAACAGAGAGAGCAAUACAAGGUCUGAGCCAAAGGAAACAGACCAAAGCCAGACUGGGUCUGGGUGUGGGGGAGGAGGAGGAAAGGGGUCGGGAGGAGGCAGCCCAGGUCAGGGGCCCAGAGUGGACCAGCAAUGCAAUUGGAAUGGGAAAGAACCGUAGAGCCCCCUGAGAGGCUGCAGCCCCUCAGGCCUGGCCCUCAGGCCUGGGCCUCCCUUCAUCCCAGUUUCAGGCUGCAUUCUUAAUCGGGCCACGGCCCCGGCUACCUAGAGAGACAGUCACACACUGGCUUCAAGACCAGAGAAACCCCAGCAAAGGGCAGCCAGCUUCUGGGCAAAGAGUGAAGCCACCGGCUCCCUCCGGCUUGCAGCUUCUCCUUUCUGAAGUGGGUGGGCAGUUUCCGGCCAACCUUUUGCCUCCUUCUCUCCAGCCGCCCCUGCUAACUCCCAGUAAUUUGCCAAAAUUAACAGAUUUAUGGCAGCAUGUUGGUUUGGAUCAACUUUUCGUAUGUACUUUGCAAGAGAAAAACAUUUUCUUCUCCCCCGACUUACUGUUUGCCCAUUAAUACGCUCCACAUUCACUGGUGCUUAAUGACUGUUCAAAUUUUCUCUGUUCAUAGAGAAUGUUGUUGUUGUGAUUAAGGGUGCCAGGGUGCUUGCAAGUACAAACACACCAAAGCCAUGAAAAGGGCAAUUAAUUCUUUAAAAAAAUGCAAGAGAGUGGGAGAGAUUGGAUGCUCUGUUUACAGAAAAGCAAGAAAGAAAACAGAUAUUUCUAAGAAGUGUCCUUCCAGGACAGCAACGUCUCCUGUAAAAAUGUCUCCUGGAAAAAAUGUUGAAAUACAAAUGUUCAUGGAAACUGCUGUCCAGCAGACAUUUGGUUAUUCAACAACCAUGUGUCAACUACUCAUUAUGGGCCUGGUUCUGGGGUAAUUCAUAAAGGAAGCCACAGGGUGUGGGCGAAGUGGACAUCUGGGCCAGGACUGAAAUCCCAGCUCAAGAUAAGUCAUCCCUUGCCUCUGAGCCUCAGUUUACCCAUCUGAAAAUUAGGAGGUGGAAAUCCCAAGGGUGGCUAUCAAAAUUCAAGAGGACAUGUGUAUCAAGGGCUUAGCUUGCUGCUAGCACAUAGUAAGUGUACAAGAACUGCCUGGUUCAUUAUUCGUUCACUCUCCUGAACAAAUCAGUGGCCGUUUUAAUGGCUUUGGUGUGUUUGGACUUGCAAGCACCCUGGCACCCUUAAUCACAGCAACAGCACUCUCUAGCACCAGAGUACGUUCUCUGGGCCAUGGGCCAUGCCAUGGGGCUGGAUUUUGAAGUUACAACUUCAAGAAAGGCAAGUUUCUGCCCAUGUAUGGCUGAUGAUCCAACGGUGGGAGACAGAAACUACUAAACAUCUGCAAUGGCAACGUGUCCAACAGUGAUAAAUGCCUGAAGGGAAAUAAAACAAAGUAAGAUACAAAGCAGGGCCAAAGUAGAUAAGGCCCUGCUGAGCUGUGUUGGAUGAUGUCAUCAGGGGCCUGGGGAGGCCAGCAAGGUGACUUGUGCAGACACCCGAGUCGGGUGUCGAUAUCUUCCUCCAUACCUUUUAUCUUUCCUAAAAAUAUGGUUGGGAAGCCCUGGUCCAUCUGCAAAGGACAGGGGCAAGUUGGCCUAUGCGCUAGCAAUUGCUACAUAUUGUGAGAGCUCUUAAACCAAAGGUCAGGACACACCCAGUGAAUGUUUCCCUUCCAGAUAAGAAAAAUAUUCUGAGCACCUGCUAUGCGCCAAGCGUUGUGCUAUGUAGUGGGGGCACAACUGCAGGGAAACCAGACAUGGUCCCUCCCUGCCUCCUGGCAUUUAGAGCCAAGACAGAGGGUCAGAUUAUAAAUGAACACAGGCACCAUGAUUAUUUCAUCUCAAACUCUGGUUGGUGCUAUGGGAAAGGAGCAGUGAUCUUUGAGACCUGAGAGGGGGUCCUGAUGGAGCAGACACCAGCAGAAGGAUCCUUCCGGGAAGUGACGUUGAAGCUAAGCUUGAAAAGAAAGAAGCCAGUGGACAUCUUCUGGUGAGACCCAGAGCACCCCACCUGCAAGGGGCCUGAUCUCCCUUGAACCAAGAGCCCUGCCACUCGCCCCAGCUGCCUAAAGGCUGACAGGAGAAGAGGGAGUCAGAAUGGUGCUCCAAACAGAGCUCACUGGAAUCUCAGCUCAGCCAUUUACUUGCUCUGUCAACUUGGGCUCUCGCUGCAGAUGUCAUUAGUGAAGACGAAGUCACACUGGAGUAGGCUGGGCCCUAAAUCAAAUGGCUGUUAGUUUUAUAAGAAGAGGGAAAUUUGGACACAGACACACACAAAGAGGAACAACCAGCGUGUGAAGACAGAGGCAGAGAUUGGAAUGAGGCAGCCACAAGCCAAUGAACCGCUGCAGCUCCCAGAGGCCAGAAGAGGCAAGGGAAUAUCCUCCCCUAGAGGCUGCAGAGGGAGCACAGCCCUGCCAGUGCCUUGAUUCGAGACUUCGAGACUUCCAGCCUCCAGAACUGGGAAAGAAUAAAUAUCUGCUGUUUUAAGCACUUUGGUUUGUGGUGCUUUGUCACUGGCAGCCCUGGGAGUAGUCCAGAAUUAUAACCCCUACCUUCCCCGAGGACUGCUUGUCCAGAGGGUUCCCCAGGGUCCCAUUCUUAACAGAUCCUCCUUGAAUGCCCUGCAGCCACCGCUGAUGUGCUGGAAGUCACUUCUGCUGGCUUUGAUGAAGGGAAGGAAGCAGAUGAGAAAGAGGGUGUAUAUGAGUGACUCAUUGAACCUAUUGUCUAUCCAUAGAGAGAGGGGACGAGAGAGUGCCUUGUCCCCAAGACCUGGGCCCACAGUGGCCCCUUAAGUAAGUUCAGGCCCUCUCACCUGGGCAGGGGUCAGAAGCCUAGAGCAACAGCAACCACUGAAAGCCCUCAGCACUCCACUUAGGCCUCCACUCCAGAGCCUCAGAGCUGCCAGCUUCUUCUCCCUGAUACCCCUGCAGAAACUCAGCCACCUUCUAUUUAGAAGGAUCAGCCAUCAGAUGCUUCUAAAUAAAUCCAAUCCCUCCACCCUCCUGCUUUCCACUUGCAACUGUCUCUGUCCACUGGCACUUGGACCCAAGAGCUAAUUGCAGAAGCUUCAUCUUAAAGGAAACCACAAACACGCUCUCACCCACGUUUUACGACUUUAUAACUCACCAAAUAAACCUGAUUCCUAUAACCAUAAAACAAAGCCGAAAUGAGUUGGACAUGUACCAGCGAGGAGAAGCAGGAGGCGGGUGGAGAUUGCCAGAGGGGGCUCUCAGCUGUGGAGUCGCGGCUCUCCGUGUGGAUUUCGGCAUCUCAGUCUUGCAGAAACUUAAUAUUCCAAUCAGCACCCAAGCAAGGCGUUGGAAGCCAAGGAGUGCAUGAGUGCCCCCAUAGCUGGGGGAAUAUUACUCACCAGGUCAUGGUCGGCUGCGUAAAAUACAACCCUCAUAUAUCAUUAUAACUGCCAGCCAACGACAGUUAUAAUUGAGACGGCAAUAACUAGGAGAGAGUUCUUUAA
rnacentral:lncRNA from 1 species